CCUACGGGAGGCAGCAGUAAGGGAUAUUGGUCAAUGGGGGAAACCCUGAACCAGCAACGCCGCGUGAGGGAAGACGGUUUUCGGGUUGUAAACUUCUUUUAAGAGGGAAGAGCAGAAGACGGUACCUCUUGAAUAAGCCACGGCUAACUACGUGCCAGCAGCCGCGGUAAUACGUAGGUGGCAAGCGUUGUCCGGAUUUACUGGGUGUAAAGGGCGUGCAGCCGGGAAGACAAGUCAGAUGUGAAAUCCCGCGGCUCAACCGCGGAACUGCAUUUGAAACUGUUUUUCUUGAGUACCGGAGAGGUCAGCGGAAUUCCUUGUGUAGCGGUGAAAUGCGUAGAUAUAAGGAAGAACACCAGUGGCGAAGGCGGAUGACUGGACGGCAACUGACGGUGAGGCGCGAAAGCGUGGGGAGCAAACAGGAUUAGAUACCCGGGUAGUC
rnacentral:rRNA from 1 species